CCAACACAGUGGGACCUUCUGUGAGUCUCUGAGCCUCCCACAGCCUCAGCUUCCCUACCUGUCAAGAAGGGAAAACACCCGUGUCCCCUCUAUGAGGCCUUGUCACACCAGAUCUCAUCUAGUCUCGAGGCAUCAAAUGUCUUCUAUGCUGUGGACUCCCGAACACCCGCGUAUGCACCUGCCAUCCCCCAUCCAGACCUCUCUCCCACCCGUUGCCCACUCUGUGAUCCACUUGCUGUCUAACAAACACCUCGGAUGUCCCAGCCCCUGCUCCUCUGCCUUGAAUGCCCUUCCCUGAUGUGUCUGCAAGGCUCACUCCCUCACCACCCUUAUGCCUUCAUUCAAAUGCCACCUGCUUGGUCAUGAUCUUGUGGUUCGUGAGAUAGAGCCCCACGUG